AUUGAACGCUGGCGGCAGGCCUAACACAUGCAAGUCGAGCGAGCGGCGGACGGGUGAGUAAUGUCUGGGAAACUGCCUGAUGGAGGGGGAUAACUACUGGAAACGGUAGCUAAUACCGCAUACCAUCAGAUGUGCCCCGAUGGGAUUAGCUAGUAGGGGGGGUAAUGGCUCACCUAGGCAACGAUCCCUAGCUGGUCUGAGAGGAGGACCAGCCACACUGGAACUGAGACACGGUCCGUGCUCCUACGGGAGGCAGCAGUGGGGAAUAUUGCACAAGGGGCGCAAGCCUGAUGCAGCCAUGCCGCGUGGAUGAAGAAGGCCUUCGGGUUGUAAAGUACUUUCAGCGAGGAGGCGUUACUCGCAGAAUAAGCACCGGCUAACUCCGUGCCAGCAGCCGCGGUAAUAC
rnacentral:rRNA from 1 species